rnacentral:rRNA from 1 species
GUGGGGAAUCUUGCGCAAUGGGCGAAAGCCUGACGCAGCAACGCCGCGUGUGGGAUGAAGGCCCUCGGGUUGUAAACCACUUUCAGCAGGAACGAAAAUGACGGUACCUGCAGAAGAAGGUCCGGCCAACUACGUGCCAGCAGCCGCGGUAACACGUAGGGACCAAGCGUUGUCCGGAUUUAUUGGGCGUAAAGAGCUCGUAGGCGGUUUGGUAAGUCGGGUGUGAAAACUCAGGGCUUAACCCUGAGACGCCACCCGAUACUGCCAUGACUUGAGUCCGGUAGGGGAGUGGGGAAUUCCUGGUGUAGCGGUGAAAUGCGCAGAUAUCAGGAGGAACACCGGUGGCGAAGGCGCCACUCUGGGCCGGUACUGACGCUGAGGAGCGAAAGCGUGGGUAGCAAACAGGAUUAGAUACCCCAGUAGUCC